rnacentral:lncRNA from 1 species
CAUGGGGCUCUGGUGAUCUCACCGUGGGAUCUGGUGAUGGGGUUUGGUUGGGGAGGAGCGAAUCGGACUGAGCCUGGUGCCUGGACCCGGGGGGAGUCCAUCGGGCCAUUGGCAAUCAGGUCUUGGGAUCCUGAGGGAUCUCACUGAGCCUGGUGCCUGGAUCCCAAUAAAGGGGGAGGAUCCAGUAAAUCCUGGUGAUUCUACCAGUGAUUCCUGGUGAUCUGCAGCUUUCUUGAGGGCCGUCGUCUCCUCCCCACCCCGGGAACCCGUCCAAGUGUCUGUCCGUCUCUCCGCAGCGGGACGUGCGGACGGCCUGCCAGCUGCGCUUCCACUUCCUGAAGUCGCUCUUCGAGCACAGCACGUCUGGGGCCCUCCCGUAAGAGCCUGCGAGCUCCCCUGCCCUCCCCUUCCCCUCCGCCGCUCUGUUUCUGACCCGCCCCAUGUGUGUGUCUCGCAGCAGUGGGACAAGCGAGGAGCUGCUGGAGGCAUCCUACCAGCACUGGUUGAGCACGGUGGAGGACAUCGUGGGUUCCCACCCUCCCAACCACGUCCUGGCAGCCCUGGAGCACCUGGCCCUGGAGAACACCCUGCAGAUGCAAGAGCUCACCAGCCGCAUUGACAUUCCCCGCGACGUAGAGGCGCUCAAGUGGGUACCACUAAGGGGGUGGCAGUGUGGGUGCAUGGUGCUGUACGGAGCCGUCGCCCCCCAGUGGUGGUGGCUUGUACUGGGGGGCGGGUAGGGUGGCAGAGUCAGAGCUCAGGAGAGGGGCUGCUGUGGGGCUUUGGCCCCCUGGUGGUGGCAGUUUGUACUGCAGGGGGCAGAGUCAGGGCUCUGGGGGGCUGUCACCCCAGCGGUGCUGCAGUGAUCCAUGGCACCAGUGCGGGGGCCUGUACCUCUGCCGUCGGGCCUGCAGGUUCCGCUACGAGAGCGCCCGCCUGGAGACCUGGCGGGGCCGCCAGCAGCCCUGCCCUCGGCCCGGGGCCUCAUACAGGGGAGUGGGGACAUGGGGCGGGGCAGGCAGGGCUGCAUCUGGG